rnacentral:rRNA from 1 species
CAAGUCGAGCGGCAGCGCGGGGGCAACCCUGGCGGCGAGCGGCGUACGGGUGAGUAAUGCAUCGGAACGUGUCCUCUUGUGGGGGAUAACCAGUCGAAAGACUGGCUAAUACCGCAUGAGAUCGCAAGAUGAAAGCAGGGGACCCGCAAGGGCCUUGCGCGAGAGGAGCGGCCGAUGCCCGAUUAGCUAGUUGGCGGGGUAAAAGCCCACCAAGGCGACGAUCGGUAGCUGGUCUGAGAGGACGACCAGCCACACUGGGACUGAGACACGGCCCAGACUCCUACGGGAGGCAGCAGUGGGGAAUUUUGGACAAUGGGGGCAACCCUGAUCCAGCCAUGCCGCGUGUGUGAAGAAGGCCUUCGGGUUGUAAAGCACUUUCGGACGGAACGAAAUCGCGCGAUCUAAUAAGCCGCGUGGAUGACGGUACCGUAAGAAGAAGCACCGGCUAACUACGUGCCAGCAGCCGCGGUAAUACGUAGGGUGCGAGCGUUAAUCGGAAUUACUGGGCGUAAAGUGUGCGCAGGCGGCAGAGCAAGUCGAGUGUGAAAGCCCCGGGCUUAACUUGGGAAUUGCGCUCGAAACUACUUUGCUGGAGUGUGGCAAAGGAAGGUGGAAUCCACGUGUAGCGGUGAAAUGCGUAGAGAUGUGGAGGAACACCAUUGGCGAAGGCAGCCUUCUGGGCCAACACUGACGCUCAUGCACGAAAGCGUGGGAGCAAACAGGAUUAGAUACCCUGGUAGUCCACGCCUAAACGAUGACGACUAGUUGUUGGAGGA